AUAAUUAUCUUAUACCAGUAUAGAGAUAGAAAUUAAAUUUUUAUUAACUACAGGAACAUAAUAACAAUCUUUUAAAAUUAAACUAAAUCCUAACGGUAAUUGCAAAGAGUAGGUCCCGAUGGCUACGAUAGCAACUCUUACCCCAUUAUUGACUCGGAGAGUAAUUUUACCUUCUCUCAGCCCUCUAAUUUUCUUUAGAUUAUGC
rnacentral:lncRNA from 1 species